GUACACGCUGUGACUAGCAUAUCAAUAAGCGGAGGAAAAGAAACUAACAAGGAUUCCCUCAGUAACGGCGAGUGAAGCGGGAAGAGCUCAAAUUUGAAAUCUUGAAAGGUCACCUUUCACGAAUUGUAGUUUAAAGAAGUGUUUUCUGUUACGAUCGUAAUAUAAGUUCUUUGGAAUAGGACAUCACAGAGGGUGAGAAUCCCGUCUAUGAUUGCGAUUUGUAGCUUUGUGAUACACUUUCAAAGAGUCGGGUUGUUUGGGAAUGCAGCCCAAAACGGGAGGUAAAUUUCUUCUAAGGCUAAAUAUUGGCGAGAGACCGAUAGCGAACAAGUACCGUGAGGGAAAGAUGAAAAGAACUUUGAAAAGAGAGUUAAAUAGUACGUGAAAUUGUCAAAAGGGAAGCGUUUAACACCAGUGUUGUCUUCUGAAAAUCAACCUCUGUUAGCUUUAUGCAUGUUUGUUUAGACCUAAUCAGCUAUCUUUCAUGUUCUAUUGUUUGCAGUGGUGCACUUUUCAGUUUACAGGUCAACAUCAGUUUUUUUUACCGUAAAAAAGUUAAAGAAAGGUAGCUCAUGGCUCCGGUCGUGAGUGUUAUAGUCUUUUUCCUAUGCGGUAGGAGAGACUGAGGUCUGCAGUGUAGGCUAUUUGGCUAGAUACUCAGGUGCUAUGUGAUACCAUUUCAUAAACAACUUGUUGAUUAUGUUUUGUCUAUUGCAUACUCGCUUGUACUAUCAUACCUACGCUUAGGAUGUUGAGUAGCGACAUACGCAC
rnacentral:rRNA from 1 species